rnacentral:rRNA from 1 species
UACAGAGGGUGCGAGCGUUGUUCGGAAUUAUUGGGCGUAAAGGGCGCGUAGGCGGUGUGUCAAGUCAGGCGUGAAAGCCCCGGGCUCAACCUGGGAACCGCGCUUGAGACUGGCACGCUCGAGUUCGGGAGAGGAUGGUGGAAUUCCCAGUGUAGAGGUGAAAUUCGUAGAUAUUGGGAAGAACACCGAUGGCGAAGGCAGCCAUCUGGGACCGACACUGACGCUGAGGCGCGAAAGCGUGGGGAGCAAACAGG